UACGAGGGGAGCAAGCGUUGUUCGGAUUUACUGGGCGUAAAGGGCGCGUAGGCGGCCACGACAAGUCACUUGUGAAAUCUCCGGGCUUAACUCGGAACGGUCAAGUGAUACUGUCGGGCUAGAGUACAGAAGGGGCAACUGGAAUUCUCGGUGUAGCGGUGAAAUGCGUAGAUAUCGAGAGGAACACCUGCGGCGAAGGCGGGUUGCUGGGCUGAUACUGACGCUGAUGCGCGAAAGCCAGGGGAG
rnacentral:rRNA from 1 species